UGUCUCAAAGAUUAAGCCAUGCAUGUCUAAGUAUAAGCAAUUAUACGGCGAAACUGCCGAAUGGCUCAUUAUAUAAGUUAUCGUUCAUUUGAUAGCACCUCGCUACUUGGAUAACCGUGGUAAUUCUAGAGCUAAUACAUGCUGAAAAUCCCGACUUCGGAAGGGAUGUAUUUAUUAGAUUAAAAACCAAUGCCCCCUGGGCUCUCUGGUGAUUCAUGAUAACUGCUCGAAUCGCAUGGCCUUGCGCCGGCGAUGGCUCAUUCAAAUUUCUUCCCUAUCAACUUUCGAUGUUUGGGUAGUGGCCAAACAUGGUUGCAACGGGUAACGGAGGGUUAGGGCUCGACCCCGGAGAAGGAGCCUGAGAAACGGCUACUACAUCCAAGGAAGGCAGCAGGCGCGCAAAUUACCCAAUCCCGACACGGGGAGGUAGUGACAAUAAAUACUGAUACAGGGCUCUUUUGGGUCUUGUAAUUGGAAUGAGUACAAUUUAAAUCCCUUAACGAGGAACAAUUGGAGGGCAAGUCUGGUGCCAGCAGCCGCGGUAAUUCCAGCUCCAAUAGCGUAUAUUAAAGUUGUUGUGGUUAAAAAGCUCGUAGUUGAA
rnacentral:rRNA from 1 species